rnacentral:lncRNA from 1 species
AAAGUAACCAGUCAACGGAAAACCAGUUUGUCAAACUUCUCAGCGGGAUCAUUCGAAAUAUUUCAGGUGAUUCAAUUGGACCCAGAUCAAUCUAAGGUACUGCGGAGGAUCAAAAUACCUGCCAGAGACGUUACAUCGUGCAUAUUCGGUGGUUGCGGCUUUACUACACUGUAUGUCACGACUUCCCAGCGAAAUUUGACGCCUGACGAGAAAAAGGAACAGCCUCAGGCAGGCUGUGUUUUCGCCGUCGACAAUCUAUGUGUGCAAGGAUUGCCGUGCAACGACGCCAUCAUCUGUAGGGGUGGCUGCUUCUGCAGUGGAUUCUACGACCCUUGUUACGGGUGCACGAGCUGCGGAAAAGACGACAAGGAUGACGAUGAUAAACACAAUAAAAAUGACGGGGACAGCCAGGAUGGCAAUUCGAACAACGGUGGAAGCGAAAGUAACAACAACGAUAGCAGUAAUAAUGGUAAUAGUACUAAUAAUAGCAACUCGAAUUCUUGCAGAUCGUGCAGGUACGGUGGGAAAUACAGUUUCCGCACGGCAUCCAGUGGAGACUACGAAAGAUGCUGUGGAUGUUGUGACGUUUGCGGAGGAGUUGGCUACAGAUUCGGCGCAUGCUACAAAGGAGGAUCCUGUGGAGGUGGCAAAUCUGGUGGAUGUAACAACGGUUACGGGUCGUGUGGCUGCUCGAAAUCUGGUAGCUGUAACAAUGCUUACAGGUCGUGCGGCUGGUCUAAAUCUGGUGGCUGUAACAACGGUUUCGGGUCGUGUGGAUGCUCUAAAUCAGGUGGAUGUAACAACGGGUACGGAUCGUGCGGCUGUUGUAAAUCGUGUGGGAGUGGUAGCGGUUACGAGUCGUGUGGCUGCUGUAACUCUGGUGGAUUUAACAGUUACGGCUUGUGCGCCUGCGGUAAAUCGUGUGGGGACAGCAAAGGUUAUCGUACGUGUUGCUGCUGCAAAUCGUACGUAACUGAGAAGGAUUCCGGAACGUCGACAGACAACACGUCGGAUGGAAGCAGCAAUGGAACUAACGGCAGUGGAUCGGGUUGCAGCGGUGAAAGUGGAGCAAACGGGUCAUGUAAAGGAGGCGGGAAGGGAGCUGCGGAAGUAGUGGGUCAUGCGGAGGUUGUGGAGAAAGUGGUUGCGGGUCGUGUGGGUGUAACGGAGGAGAUGGUUACGGAUCGUGUGGAAGCUGCGGUAGAGGCGGUUAUACCUCGUGUGUAG